GAUGAACGCUGGCGGCGUGCCUAAUACAUGCAAGUCGAGCGAAUGGAUUAAGAGCUUGCUCUUAUGAAGUUAGCGGCGGACGGGUGAGUAACACGUGGGUAACCUGCCCAUAAGACUGGGAUAACUCCGGGAAACCGGGGCUAAUACCGGAUACCAUUUUGAACCGCAUGGUUCGAAAUUGAAAGGCGGCUUCGGCUGUAACUUAUGGAUGGACCCGCGUCGCAUUAGCUAGUUGGUGAGGUAACGGCUCACCAAGGCAACGAUGCGUAGCCGACCUGAGAGGGUGAUCGGCCACACUGGGACUGAGACACGGCCCAGACUCCUACGGGAGGCAGCAGUAGGGAAUCUUCCGCAAUGGACGAAAGUCUGACGGAGCAACGCCGCGUGAGUGAUGAAGGCUUUCGGGUCGUAAAACUCUGUUGUUAGGGAAGAACAAGUGCUAGUUGAAUAAGCUGACACCUUGACGGUACCUAACCAGAAAGCCACGGCUAACUACGUGCCAGCAGCCGCCGCCG
rnacentral:rRNA from 1 species